rnacentral:rRNA from 1 species
CACGGGGGGAGCAAGCGUUGUUCGGAAUCACUGGGCGUAAAGGGCGCGUAGGCGGCCUGUUACGUCGAACGUGAAAUCCCCGGGCUCAACCCGGGAACUGCGUCCGAUACUGGCAGGCUUGAAUCCGGGAGAGGGAUGCGGAAUUCCUGGUGUAGCGGUGAAAUGCGCAGAUAUCAGGAGGAACACCAAUUGCGAAGGCAGCUCGCUGGGACGUUACUGACGCUGAGACGCGAAAGCGUGGGGAGCAAACAGG